GUAAGUAAGUAAAGUACAAUAUUAUCGCAUCAAAAACAUAAUUAUGAAAUGAGAUUCAAGUUCAAUAUUAAGAAUGUGCGUCGUUGUUAACUUCACUGGCAAAAGAGUUAACAUAUAGCUGCUAAGUUCUAGUUUAUUGGGAUGUAAUUAAAGUUCAGGAUUUGAGACAUCAGAGUCAACAACGACGCAAUCAUUUCAUAUUUGUUUUUGUUGGGAUAUCAUUACUUCUUUUACAGAAAUUAUUAGUAUUCAUCAUAGUUGAUUUCGAAACUAAAAUGUAUUUCUGCUAAGUAUUACAAAUUCGAUAUGAGCUUAGUGGGUAAGUAAAUAAAAACUGUUUUUUGAAAUAUAUUACAAAUCGUAAUAAAAUCACUGUUUAAAGAAACAUAAAGAUGUUAGGUUCGUUACCACACAAUUUUCCAGCUGGAUGCCAAAUUUCAACUUGCUAGGUUAUCUGGAAGUGGGUUAGGUUUUUUAUGUUAGGUCAGUCAGUCGAUGAGAAUAAUCCCGCUUAUUAGAUGUUUGCAUCUCAAUAAUCGGUAGAGCCUUCUCAUCCUCAUCUUCUUUCGAACUUGGCUUGACACACUCCCGCGUGUCGACAUUAUUUUUUCUAUUAUUUAAGUACCUAUUAUAUUUUAUUGUGUUUUAACAUAUUAUUGCUGAGUAAAAUUGAAUGAUAAUGAUAAAAAGAUAUCGAUAAAUUGAUAUCAAAGCAUUCUCCGUGACGGAUUAGAUAAAAUCUAAGGUGGAUACUUGCAAUCUACGCUCAAAAUAUAUUGUUGUCGAAAACGAAACUUUGAACUGGUACAGUUUUAAUCCUAUUCGAUAUGUGCGCUGCUAAAAUACGGUUCGGUUUUCUUCUCCAUUUGCGUUACGCAUAUAUUCGCUUUAGAGUAAUUUAAAUGCAAGUAUAAAUAACCACUGUGAUAUUAAAAAUAUUUUUUACAUCACCCAUUCGGAAAAGGGUUUUCCUCCUUGCUAGAGAUCAAAGUGGUAUAUAUCUGUUAGAGAACACAAUUUUUUUUAGCUUAAAUAAUAUAUAUUUUGAAACAUAACAAUUUCCUCUUAGAUGAUGUGAAAAUCAGAUGUCACGUGGUAUCAAAAUGAUUUCCACUUCGGGCGUUAACACUUUAAUCCCUCACUAGGCUCAAGAUAGAAUCCUUCGAUUCGUUCAAAAUUCAAUAUACGCCCUCGCCGCAAAUAUGUCAUUUUGCUUCUUUGUGACACUAUCUGCUAGUAUUGCAGCCAUACCUAUUCUAAAACGUAAAUUUGCCACAGUUCGCGUAUGGCCGAUUUUAAUUUUGUCGUAGUCAUCGUAGAUUUACUUUAGCUCCUAUUUACCCACCCAUAAAUCUACCCACUAGGAAGAUAAAACAAGUACCUUAAGUGCAUAAGGACAAACAAUUUUUAAACGUAUGACAAUCUUUAUAGACCUGAUGAUAAUAAGCACCAACUGUAUUAUAUUAUUAUACUCUAUAAUUAAGACAUAAAAUUGAGAAUAGCUUACUUUCAGCACCUGUAAUCGAUAUUUAUUACUUAUAAUUGGAUAAUUCUUAAGACCCUUAAUCCCCUACGAUAAAUAACCCCCUACUAGAAGCAAUCAAUAAUCUUUUUAAGAUUAUUCCCUUUUUAAUGUUUGAUUGAACAAACGUGUGUAUUGUUAUAUUAACUUAUACUAUAUAAUACCGUUGAAAAUGUGUGUGUUAAUUAUUUGACGUGCUGUUAUUCGUUUUUUGUUAAUAACGUUAUUUAUCAUUUAUAUAAUGAACGUGGAAGAAGCACCGGCAAACCUUAGAUUUAACUAUUAUGAAAAUGCAAAUACUCGUAGUAAUCUGCACGAAUUUUCGAUUUAUUUAAUUUUAGCAGUGUUAAUGAUUUUGCUUGUUGUAUUACUGGCAAUUAUAACUCGAGUCAUACAAAUAGGGCAGAAAACGCGCACGCCACCGCAGAGGAGGAUGUACGUGGGCUCCCGAGUCCGACAGUCAUUGUCUCAAACCGAGCCCACUAUCUACGUCAGCCCCAACAAUUUGCCGCCCCCGCCCAAAUAUGAAUGCCUAGCGCCACCCAGCUACGAAGAAGUAGUGGGCAUCCACUACCCUCAGUACCAGAACCAGCCCAUCACCCAGCCCAUAACUGCCGCCAUGGCGCAAAACACCCUGUCGUCACAGAACGCCACCGACGCGCCGCCCGCGCCGCCCGCUCCGACGGUCAUCACCGUCACGUCAGAGCGGACGCCAGUGCAUGUGCAGGUCGCUGCGUCGUCGUGAUUUCGUUAACGCGUUAUUUUAGUAAUAACGUUAUUUGCCAAUAACGAUUUUAGAAAUCGCGUUGUUUUAUGGUAUAAAAGAGUUAACGUUAUCAUUUUAUUAUCUAACGCUGUGUUUGGAAUACUUUAAUGUAAUUUCUAAAUGCAACUUAAAGCAGUGUUGUAAUUGUCAAUUUUGUUUCUUUUUCACGUAUCUUUGAAUGAACUCCUCUUCUAUAAUCAAUUGUUUUGUUGAAAUGACAAAUAAAAAGUGCAAUAUUAGUAUUAAUUCCACGAACUCAAACACAUUCCAUAUACCAUCGAGUAAUUAUUACCUAUUAACUAAAAUGUAUAUAUUCGAAUAAAAUUUUUAAUCGAUUCAAUAACGAAAUCAGUAUAUUUAACUUUGUGUAGAAAGUUAAAUUUAAACUGUAAUAUUUUUUUAAAUGAUUUGAAAUUUACACGCUUUCAUUACACAAACAUUCCUUGAACAUCGUGCAGUAUUAUGUUAUAUUUUGACCACCUAUUUACUGCUGGACAGUAAAGUAAAUGCACAUAGUAAUUAACAUGAGCAUGAGAUUUUCAUAGUCGAUACAUUGUGAUACUAGUGUACCAAAGUUAAAGUUAUUCUAAAUCAAAAGAUCAAGCCAUAGAUAUAACCAAGCGCGACAGAAUACUUCUAAAUAAAUCUACGAGUAUGCAUUAUACUUCCAAAUUAAUUCAUAUAUAUACUGUGUUUGUGUGUGUGUGUGUGUGUGUGUAUUAUAUUGUGUUUUACACGAAGUCAACUUUGACAAGUGACAGUACCAACACUUGUUGUCGCCUUUUUAGCUUACAGCUAAACAAGAUUUGAUCUAAAAAUAUAUUUGCCAUUAUUAUUGGACAAGAGGACAACACAACUAGCAAAACCAGCUAAAAAUUGAAUUAGUCCCUGUAGAAUCGCGGGGUUUCCUGGUAAAUGUACGGCAAAUAAUAUUACCUAUAUAUCUUGUUAAGAAACAAGACAACAUUGCAAAUAGCGGGAACACUGACUUUAUUAUUAAAAAAAUGUUUUUAACAUGAGAUUUAGUUCUCAUGUCAAAAAUAUUUUGUUUGCUUUCCCUGUUCUCUGCCAAAAAAUGCGGACUGUAAAUAUUAUUUCAUAUAAAUUUAUUAGUACCUACCUAUGUGUACUAAUUAUUAUGUAUAAGUAGAGAUGUAAAUGUUUAGGUUAAGAUUUUUAUGUACAUACAUAGACUGUGGGUGAAACUUGACAAAAAAACCAUAUUUAUAAACUUUAAUAAAAUGUUGUUACUAUA